GACGUAGGGGGCCAGCGUUGUUCGGAAUUACUGGGCGUAAAGAGCGUGUAGGCGGCCAUGUAGGUCCGUUGUGAAAACUCGAGGCUCAACCUCGAGACGCCGAUGGAAACCAUGUGGCUAGAGUCCGGAAGAGGAGAGUGGAAUUCCUGGUGUAGCGGUGAAAUGCGCAGAUAUCAGGAGGAACACCGGUGGCGAAGGCGGUUCUCUGGGCCUUACCUGACGCUGAGGAGCGAAAGCGUGGGGAGCGAACAGG
rnacentral:rRNA from 1 species